GGGCCCGUGGCUCAGCCUGGUUAGAGCGUUCGCCUGAUAAGCGAAAGGUCCGGGGUUCAAAUCCCCGCGGGCCCA
rnacentral:tRNA from 2 species